GAAGAAGAGAACUUUAAAGUGUUUAUAUUGUGAAACACACUUCCACAUGGAUAAGAGAGGCAAGAAAAUAAAGAUGUCUCGCGCCGUCGUCGUCGCUCGCUCGACUUUGGAUUUGGAUUUGGAUUUGGAAAAUGAUCGAUCUAUGAGAUCUAUCUUUUUGGACAAACUUUAUUUGAAUUUCGAACAAUGCCAAGAGAAAACGCAGUAAAUAUUUUCUGUGUUUAAUCCUCCAUUUACGUAUGUAUAUAUGUUUGCAGUAACAAUGACGCAGGAACUGAUGCUACUAUUUUGCAUGAACAGUGACGCAGAACGGUUGCAUUGCUUCGGAAAUGUUGCAUUGCUUCAGAACUGAUGGACUGUUUUCUGCUUUUUAACUGAACUGAUGCACUGGUUGAACAAACAGAUGCAACCAUUUAGCAAAAGACACAUUGAUUCAUGGAAAGAUAUGACUGUUCAGGAAAGGAUGCAAUCUUUGAAGAACAGAUAUGAACUUACAGCAAAGGUGCAACCUUUGGAGUGAACCAUUGCCUCCUUUCUAAAGAGGCAUCUUGUGGCUAUAAAUAACCUGGUUUUCAUCCACAGGUUUGAAAUAGAAAUUACAGAAAUUUCAGAUUAUAAACUUUUCUUCUUAUCUUGAAAAAACUAUUAUGUGUGAUCAUUAAAUCGUUCAGUGCGUUCGUAGAAUCCGCCUAUUUAAGGUACUGCUAUAGUCGGAUUGAAGGCCAUUUUAUCCUGGGAGAAAAAAUUCCACAACCUCGGGUACAGUAAGGGGAAUUAUUUCCUUAAGGAAACUCUGUGAAUUCGAUGACUUGGCCUUAUUUAUUUCUACUUCAUCUAUUAUUUCUGAAAAAAUAAAUACACCUCUUGGAAAGAUCAUUUUGAUCUUAUGUUGAGAGUAUUGAUAUACUCCAUUGUGUUCUUGUUUAUAAACUUGAACUGGAUGAAGUUCUUGUUCUGUUAUAUAGAUUCUGCAUACAAGAAUAUAUUGUGGAAAUAAUAGCUGAUAGAUCCAUCAUUAACAUGCAGGUAUCCAUCUCUGCGGUGCACAGGUGAUCCUUAUGUGCCUUGAUUUAAUGCUUUUCAUUUUGGUUACUAUAUCUGCAUCCUUUCAGUGAAGCGCAAACCCAGUCUGCUCAAAGUUCACUACAACAGUAUUAAGAAGCUGGGAUAAGCUGACGGACUAAUAAAAAAUCAAGCGCAAGAAUAUUCAGAAGAUAUGGUGUGGCACAAGACAGCUCUGAGCAAAUAUCGCCUGAUAGAUUCUCUUUAAACCGAGGAAAAAAAUAGGUUCUUUGGGAUUUCAGAUGAGGAUUUUCCAAGGCAUGAGGGACCAUUUGCUGAGUCAAUACCUAUUAAGGAAAAAAGGAGAAAUUGAACAAUCAGUUGUUAGAUUUCCGACAAGAACGACCAAAGUGAUGAUGGUGAUGAGGCCGAACGAUGGAAGGGGCGGUUAGCCAAGAUGCUAUGAUGGUGCGGAC